rnacentral:rRNA from 1 species
AGCGAACGCUGGCGGCAGGCCUAACACAUGCAAGUCGAACGAACUCUUCGGAGUUAGUGGCGGACGGGUGAGUAACACGUGGGAACGUGCCUUUAGGUUCGGAAUAACUCAGGGAAACUUGUGCUAAUACCGAAUGUGCCCUUCGGGGGAAAGAUUUAUCGCCUUUAGAGCGGCCCGCGUCUGAUUAGCUAGUUGGUGAGGUAAAGGCUCACCAAGGCUACGAUCAGUAGCUGGUCUGAGAGGAUGACCAGCCACAUUGGGACUGAGACACGGCCCAAACUCCUACGGGAGGCAGCAGUGGGGAAUCUUGCGCAAUGGGCGAAAGCCUGACGCAGCCAUGCCGCGUGGAUGAUGAAGGUCUUAGGAUUGUAAAAUCCUUUCACCGGUGAAGAUAAUGACUGUAGCCGGAGAAGAAGCCCCGGCUAACUUCGUGCCAGCCGCCGCGGUAAUAC